CCAGAAGCAGCGGCGGGCUGCGUCUUCCUGCCUUUUUUGGGUUGCAAGGGGGGGUCAGCACCCAAACGGGCCCCCUGCCGGGCUCCUUUCCUCCGCUUCAGGGCUGGCCUUCCUCCACGUGGCUGCACCCAGGGACACGGGGAUGCACGUUCACACACCCUCGCCUGCCUCCCUUGCACGUGGAGACACUCAGCGCCUGCUUCCCCCCCACCCACUUGAGGGCUUGCUGGGUGCCCGUGUUUUUUCCAUGAUUUGCCUCCCCCACUCCCUACAACCUCUCAGCCUCUGUGUCUAGUGGAAGGGAGUUCCAGAUGUUCCCUUGAAGGGACGUUGCAUCCAAGUACCGUAAUUGGGCAACCCAAGGAGCGAAUCGCCUUCAGAACGCCCCGUCCGUCCGUAGCAGCCCUGCUCAGGUUUUGCAGACCCCAGGGUGCUUCUUGAGCAAGCCGUCUCAGUUUGCGUAGGAGGGCUCCCACAAGGCUGGCUGCGCGUGCCCAAAGGCGCUUUGGUAAGCACCCCGGUGAGCUCUCGAGGAGGGUUUUGACCACUUGGCACAGUUUCCGUCUUACAAAGAGAAAGGGAAUUAAAAGCAAGCCCAAGGGCCGUUGGCUGGGGUUCCCAGUCCUGAUAUGGGGCCCCUGUCCUGUUUGGCUCUGACUGUGGCCGGCAGAUAAAUAUUUUGGCGCACAAAGUAAACAGCGUAGCCCCCGCAGGGAGGACCUUGAUAAGGGACGCUGCCCCGUCUGCUGUCAGGGGCUGGUUGUGAUGCUGGAGUUGAAAAUAAAACACAUGCCAAGGACCUGUGUGUUCCUAUUCUAAGGGGGUUGUGCCGACAUCCAGGCUCUGGACAGGCACAUGGGUCUCUAGAGUGAGAACACUUUGUCACCUGCUAGUUGCAAAGCUGCUCCCUUUUUUUGGUCCGCUUUUGCCUCAACCACGCAGUGACUGGCCCAAGGCCUCUCCCUCCCUGCCGGGACGUUUCCUUUCAAGGGAUCAGGAAAGCAACGGGUUUGCCGGCGUCGGUCGUGGGUUGCUGCUUCAAUGGAGACUCCAAGGUGUGGCCCGAGAUAUGGAAGGCGUUGCUGAGUCGGAUCGUAUUGUCCUUGGCUGGAGUCAGCUACUUUUUCCCCCAAGGAGCUCUUAAGUUGUCAUCUGCAAGUGGGGGAGCAAAUCCAUCUCCUGCUAAAGAUUUUGUUGUGAAAUAUUGUGACUCGCUCUGUUAUAGGUGGAGCCGUCUUCUGCGCUUCUGCAAACUCAUUGUGCAAUUAUUAUUCCUUACGAGGGGAAAAAUCUCUGCCUCAAAAUAAACGGAAGUACACCCUCCCCCCGAAAAAUGUUAGGUGUUUGUGGGGGAACCUCUAGAGGGAUUACGGGUCGGAUACAGAGGGAUGGAACUGGAUGUGCCUGCUGGGUUCCUUUUUUGGGUCGGGGGGGGGAAUGACACCUCUCAGAAUGUGCCAACUAUCCCUCACUGUGUUGGCCAGCCUGCUCUGGGAAUUGUAGUUUUCCAGGCUCUGAGGUGAGGCGAGGCUUACAUGAACUGCAACAGGGCCUUUUCUGUGAUUGCACCCCAAAUUCAGAACGUCCUUUCUCGGGGAGACUCGGACGGUGCCCCUUGGGAUGCUGGUCUAAGAGGAAACAACACAAGACAUUUUUUCUUCAUCGAGGACUUUUUAAGUGAUUUGUGGGAUGGGGAGGAUUUUUUUAAUGUGUGUGUGUUCCUUAAUAGUUUGUAAAAAUUGCAUUCUUUAAUAUUAUGUCCCUUUUUAUUUGGUUGAUGUCCUUUUUGCCCUAUUUUUUUACAGCUUAGUACUGUAAGCCGCCUAGAGUAGUCUUAAUUGAUUAGAUAGGCAGGAUAUAAAUAAAAUAAAUAAAAUAAAAUAAUAAAUAAAAUAA
rnacentral:lncRNA from 1 species